rnacentral:piRNA from 3 species
GUAGUGGACAGAAGGGAUUUCUGA